GGAGCUCACCCUGUCACGGGGAUUCGAACUGCCAACCUUCUGAUCAGCAGGCCCAAGAGGCUCAGUAGUUUAGACCAGAACGCCACCUCCAUCCCUGUUCUUUAUGUGCCCCCUGCCCAGCUGGUGACCCCACUGGCUUGGCACCUCCCUGUCUCUCUCUUGCAAGAAAGGGCAUCUGGCCCCACAAGACCUCGCCCACUGCACUUCCUGAGCCCCACAGGCAGGGCUCUCCCUCUUCUCCCUCAUCUGCUGCAGUCCUGAGGCAUUUAUUAUGGGAGCGUCUCCUUAGCAGUUGCAGACUUCUGUAGCCUGGAAAGAAUGCCAGGUAUGGCAUGGCGCUGCAAACACAGGCGGCAGGAGCAGCCAGGGCCAAAUCUGGCCUCCUCCCAGAGGGGGAGGGGAGCCCCUCUGUUUGUUGGGCACCUCAGUCCUGGCUCUUCUGUAGGGGUGCUGCCAGUGCACCCCUACAGCCUGGCCAACUGCAGCUGGCAAAGGCUCCUCUCACCUGAAAGGAAGGAAAGACAUGGGGUAUUUUCUAGGCUUCCAAGGGGAACCAAACUGAGGGGCUCUGGGCUCUUGGCCACCCACUCCCAUCACCACUUUGGAUGCAGAAGGAACAGAGAUUACCAUGGAUGGCAGUUCAUGCCUCUCCCACUGGGAAGUGCAGCCUCUUCUUACAAGCCAGGGAAGCCGCCCCAGUCUCUGCUGAGCCAUGCACAGGCUUCCUGGGGUCUUGGCCCCCAACCAGGGUCUGUGUCUCUUCCUGCCUCUCGCCUCCCCAGCAGCCCACAGAGUCCUUCCCAGCACACUUUUAGAUUUCAAAAAGGACAGAUUUUCCUGUGACAUCACAUCCCCACCCCCUUGGCAGCCUGCCAAUUCUCCUGUCUGUCCACUCCUGGGGGGCACAGUUCUUUUGCAUUGCCAAGGCCCCAAAUGACUCCAUGCUGGUCCCCCAUUGUUGCUCAGUGGCUCUGCAAGGAGAACCCAUGGAUUCUGGCGCAGUUCUGCAGCUUGUCUUUUCCCUUCUUAUCCCACAUAUUAUCUAAAUACUUCCGUUUAUUAGUUUCUAAUAUUCACUAACAGACUCUGGUCCCCCAGCCAUAACACUAUAUAUUUUACAGUACUUUCAUGUUGUGAGUCACCUCAAAUAAAUUAAAGUCUUCUUCUUCAUUGCAGCUGCUGAGGCCACUGAGGCUGAGGGGUUGUUGUGUCUUUCGCAGAGCCCUUCCUGGGUCUCCUUGGCUGCUGCACUCAAUCCUCCCUGCGAGGAAGCCCCUUGUCUCCGUCAGACUGAGCCCCAGCCUGGCCCUCCCUUUGCCAUAUAGGCUUUGAGCAAGCAAGAAGGAAGGUGUCCUUUCUCAUGCUUCUCUCUGACCUCCGUAGAUGCUGUCAUCCAGCCCUCCCAGGUUUGGGGCCUGGGUGUGAACCUCAGGCUGCUUGGGCAGUUGCACCCUCCCUCCCUCCUCUGCCAAGACUGUUGCUCUAUCGCCCCCUCCCUAACAUCCUAACAUCCCCCCUCCAGGAUCAAGGACAGACCAGCCUGCCUGUGCCCAGAAACAGCCAGUAUAUUUGUAGGCGGCCACUGAGCUGCCAGCAGCUUCUUUUUGAGCUCCCCACAGGUGUGCAGAAACAGCAGCAGAGACUGUGGAGGGAAAGGGCCAUAGGGGCUCAGGGGCAGAGCCCCACCUUCCCAUGAGUAAGCCCCCACGGCAUUUCCAGGCUUUGCCUUAAAGCCUGAGGAGCUGCUCCUGCGCAGCAGAGACAACCCUGAGCGCUAUGCCUGCCCCGAGGCCUGCGAGGCUAACAGGCUGAUAUCUGCUAAGUGCUCUAACUUAAUGGGACCAGUACCCAGACUGGUUUCCCUUGCCCCCCCCCCCCGUCCGCUUCUGGGUGGUCCUCUCUGUAAUCCCAGCAGCAAUAGCAUCCUGGGGCAGAGGACACAAGGGAGCUCUCCUCCCCCCACAUCUGAGCAGGCCCUGUUCUUCUCCCUUCCUCUGAAACCCCCAUCUCUUGGGGGGGCUUUUGCUGCUCCUGCCAUCAGGUCCCCAGAGAGCUGUCCCCAGGAGAUGGGGAGAAGCCCCCAGAGCAGGCCCUGCUCCCAAGGCAGCCGGAGCUGUGCCAGAGGUGACGUUAUUGGCAUGGGGAGGUGGUCCUAAUCCUCAGCUGCCUGCGCUGAGCCCAGAGCCAGAAAUAGCCCCCCGGGGCUGAUCUGAGAGACAGGUGGGCCGGUGGACAGGCAAGCAAGCGGGUGCCCCAGGAGGAAGGCACCCCUUCCUCAGCCCCACACCUGUUCCUGGCUCAUCACUCCGAGGGGAAUUAGGGAGAGCAGGAGGCAGAGGAGCACCUUUGCUGCCCACGUCGUCCUGGAGCUGCCAGCAGCCUGGGACACACUCUGCCCUCAGUCGCUGAACACACAUGCAGCACCUGCUGUAAUUAGACAUUCAUUAGCAGAGAAGAUGGAACAGUUUGGAGGCGAUGACAGAGUCUAUGCCAUUUAAACAGGGAGCUGCAAAUGGAGAUGCUCCCAUGGUAGGAAAUGGGUUUCCAGUAGAGUUUGGAAGGAGUCCUUUCCAGGUCUAGCACUGACCCUGGCCUGGCCUGGGCGGAGCAAUUAACAAGUUUGCACAGCCUACAGAAUAAAUAUUCCCAAGCAGCUCUCAGCAGAGGGAGCUGGGCAGGAAAGAGCCCCGCAGCCCCACCCGGCAGGCGGCAAAAGGCACUGCAUGCAGGACCAUGUAGGAAGGGGCUGGGCUUGUCUUAGCCCUUGUGGGCCAGAAGGCCCCAUAAGGGGUGGAGGGGCAGGAGCUGCAGCAGGGUGUUCCCUGGGGGUCCAGAUUGCCAGCAGGCACACACCAGCAGUGGGACUGUUGAGGACAUGAGAAGGGUCUGCUGGAUUAGGCCAAAGGACCUAGGACACCUAGGACACACCUAGGACAGCAUCCUGUCCUCACAGUGGUCAACCAGGUGCCCGUUAUGGAAUCCCACAAGCAAGACCCGAGCACAAGAGGACUAUCUGGACUCCCCCCACCCUUGGUGGCUUCCAGCAACUGGUACUCUGAAGGCUCCUGCCUCUGACAGUGAAGGGAGAACAUGUCUCAGAGUAUUGGGGGGGGGGUGGAUUUUCCAUGCUUAGCAAGGAUAUGCUGCCACUCCUGGGCCCAGCUGUGCCUUCCUCCUUGUCUGAGCUCAGAUGGAGAGGGUGGGGCCCAGCAGGCCAUAGAGCUGCCUCCCUCCAUGCAUUGUGGAAGGGAGCCAGUGUGUUCUGCUCCACAGAGAUUUCGACAGAGGUGGCAGACUGUGUGUGUCAGUCGGCUGCCUUUUGCUUUCCUUGCUGCCUGGUGUCAUAUAAUAAGUGUAGAGUUGGAAGGGACACCCGAGGGUCAUCUAAUCCAACCACUUGUGAUCCAGGAAUCACAACUACAGCAUCCUUCGGCUACUGGUUCCUGUCUGCCUUAAUGGAGGCAGCUCCUACAAUAGCGGGAGAUUGUUAGCAAAGAAAAAACAAGGACGAUUGAGGGUAAUUAUCCUUGCAAGUUCUCCCCAGGGAUGGGGGGGGGGCAGGGGCAGAACAGCCUUCACUCACAGUUGGUCUUGAUACCUGGCUCUCACUCCGGCAUGGAAUGUGGGUUUCUUCCCUUCCCACAAGAAUUUGGAAAUCUCUCUUUGCCAUAUCUCGAGGCAGCCCGCUUCACCCAGUAUUGGAAUCAUUUGAAAUAAAAAGAUUAAUUUUGGAAGCACGUUCAUCUUUAUAAUGGAAAUCCUGCCCAGAAAUGUUAACUUUAGUUUACUCCAGGUUUCAAGGUUUUUUCUAAUCUCUAACCAAAUUUUUGUGUAGUUAUCCUGAAAUAAAUUUAUAUUUUUGGGGGUGA